rnacentral:lncRNA from 1 species
UUAUUUCUGUAUUUCCAAGAUAUUAGUAUUCAAAUAUCGUUCUACCAGUACAUUCUCAGAUUCUCUUUGAAAUUGAAGUUGAAUAGAAUGCCAGAUUUAUCUCAGGUGCAAAAAUAUGGUUGUCAAAUAAACAAACAAAAAGAACUAACACAAAACAGAGAAUUAAGAAAAUAUCUCAGUAGCCCAAAUAGCAUUCCAGUUAUAGACAUCCAUACAUGAGAAAGCAUAAAAUGAAAUGGAGUUAUUAGAUAUUCAAUCUGGAAAGAACUUUAUUAUUUCUCAUAAAAGCUUAGGGGCAACAUUAAGUACAUUUUCAAAAAAAUCUUGAGAGCACAGACUCAUAAUUUUGAAGCUCAAAUAAGACUUCAGAGGUAUAUAAAGAGCACUGGACUAAGAGUCAAGAUACCUUGGCUCAAGGUACAACUUUGCUAUUUAUUAGCUGGUCCUUGACAUGACCAGGUUAGCAAGGUAGAAAGAUUACAAAGGUUGGCAUGAAGAAGGUAGGCUUGUAUGAGUGAUGGUGGAUGAUAACAAAUCUGGGGAAAUGAAAUGAACUACAGACAGGACACAUGCGAUGUGCUUCAGAGUAUGCAGCUUUUCCAAUCAAGGAAAGCUUCGUGCAGGAGGCCAAACAGAACCUGAACGCUGCAGUAUGACCUCAGGGACUCACAUCACUUUCUGAAAUAUCUAACAAAAAUCGCAUUUCUGCUGUUGCACUCUGAAUUCCUAGAACUUGUGCGUGAACCAUUUCACUGCAUUCAUUUUCCCCAUGUUAUUCUUUAACCAGCCUUCUUUCUUGAUCACAUUCCUAGAUCUGAGAUGUUUUCCUUUCAGUCUUUUCGGCAUAAGACCUAAUUACAUAGCUAGUUGUCCAGUAAUGUCUGGGAAGAGAAAAACCUUAAGUUUGUCAUCUCUCAGUAGGACACCCCGGCUAAAGCCUUCUGGACACAGCAAGGAUAUUGUCUUCUCUCUCUUAUAAUCCUGUUGUAUCUUCCACACAUAGCAUAAUCAGCUAUAAAGUUUUCCAAUUCUUCAAAAUAAUUACUACCACAUUUCUCAGAGAUUUUCCAAGAUUUCCUCAAAAUUGGGAAAGUAUUGAUUCAGCUCAGUAUUGAUUCAGUCUAGUAUUGAUUCAGCUUCACUUAUCACUUUCAGUGGAUGGGUGGUCUUCACAUGUACUGGACAGGUCCUCACUUAAAUAAGAUUUAGCAGCUACAAAUCCAGUUACUGCAUCAAUCCACGUACGAUUUAUCUGUAGGUGAGCUCACAGUCCAAAUGUGGACUGCCAGAAGUUGGGCAAAAUGGAACUUGGUUCAUUCUGCAGAGUGGACCACUGGGAAUUGUACUGAGAAUUACCAGAGCUGCAUAUCCUCUAUUCACUCCUCCAGCUACAGUCUCUGCUUUCCAUUGUGGCCCAGGAGACAAACUUACAUUCUACAUUAUCAGCUUCUUUGAUCUCUUGGCUUAGAGUAGCUUCAGCCAAUCAGAGAACCUAGAGGGACACUGAACAAGGGAAAAGAGAAGUCUGAGGGUUUAUCCACACAACCCCUGUCCGCCUCAGGCCCAUGGCUUGAAAGUAGCUACAUCUCUGCCAACACUCAGAUUCUGUGGGGCACCCUUCUCUCAGGGCUCCAGCACUCCAGGGUUCUGUAAUUUUGCUUCCUCCUCUCUCCCUUCCAGGCCUACAGGCAGUAGCUGCUCCCCGCUAUUGCCAGGCUCUGGAGCUAGGGUGUAGCUGUGCCUCAUCGGUUCCCUUCACUCUGCUCAUACCUCCAUUAACAAGCCAUUCAUAAACACCCUUUCUCAUACCUUUGAACUCUAUCUAUAGAUCCUGCUCGUGGAAUGCUUGGUAUGUUACACUUGCUAUCCUCAAUUUCUUUUUCAAGCUGGGCCAUCAUGUCUCUCUCACUGGACUGAAAGAGGGAGAAAACAGGAAACUGGGCACUCCUGG